GUUUUAGUAAUUUAAUAAAAAUAAUGACUUUGUAAGUCAAGAUUGAAGUGUGACUUUCUAAAACU
rnacentral:tRNA from 1 species